ACCCAAUGCUAUAUUAUCCAGGGUACGUCAGAGUGGCUUGCUCAUUAAGCACUUCACAACGCCCGCUGCGUUAAUAGUUCAAGCUCGGAAUAAAUCGAAUAACACUUAAAGGUUUUGUGACAAAGCUUUCGGAAUGUUCAAAUAUUCAGGAAAACUCACCUAUAUUGCGCUGUUCUCACUUUUUCUGACGGUGGUUGACUGUCGUCCGAAGAGAAAUGGCUUUCCUGUUGACAUCGCGGACCAAGGGCCCAAUUGCCCAUGUGAAGAUCUAGCGGGCGAGGUGUUGAGGUGUGAUGUAAACUGUACAGGCCAAUACUACAAGCUGAGCGAUCGUCAUAAAGAAUGUCUCGAGGAGUGCUCCAUGAUUUUCCUUCAAUGUUCAGCCCAAUGUCGACGAUAAUAGAACACCAUGUAUUUUUUUUCAGUUGUUAAAUGUUGUUACAAUAAACACGAUACAUAAAUUUGAAGCAAAGAUCUGCAUCCUUAUUAAACGCUUAAAGCUUAUGAAAGGUUAAUACUUGAGGUGAUUAGUAUGAAGUAUGACCAAUUAGUUACUAAAACGGUGACUGAAGUGCGCGAUCUUACUUGCAUCCGGUAAGGACUGCCAUCAACCUUUGAAACCCAUAUUGUACAUGAUCUCGAAGUCCUACAUCAAUAUUUAUAGCUCAGUUCGUGUACUGAAUCUGUAA